GUGCUCACUUCGACAGCACAUAUACUAAAACUGGAAGGAUACAGAGAAGAUUAGCAUGAUCCCUGCACAAGAAUGAAAUUCUUCACAAAUUCGUGAAGCAUUCCAUAUUUAA